UUAGCAAUGUUCAUAAUUUGCAAAAUUUAAAGGUGUCAGACCUAAUCGAUGCAAAUCUAAGAACAUGGAAACAGGAGAUGAUUCUUAAUACCAUCUCGCCAAUGGACGCCAAAAGAAUCCUUUGUAUCCUACUGGCAAUAGAGGCCCAUAAGGUAUUGUUGCGAGAAAUGCUGAGGGGAAAUGUUGAUUUCAAAAUUAGAUACAAACGGGGUUAGAAGAAAGAUGGCCGGAGGUAAUAGUUGAGGGAGAUGUAUUAUCCAUUAUAAAGAAGAGUCAAUCACAAUAUCCGAAUAAAUCACAAAUAGGAACUUAUAUUCAGAAUAUUCAAUGGUUUAGCCCAUGUUUUUUGCAACAGAAACUUUGAGAGGGGGCGAGGAGUUUUACCUAGUGUAGAGUAUUCGUUCAUUUGUGGUGCGCCGUUUUACUGCAGAGAGGGUGGGGGAACUAGACUAAAGAAUGGCGAAAUAUUUAACAGGUUUUGGGAGGAAGCUGUACUUUAUUUGUUUUGGGGAAGAUAGAGGCUUUAUCUAAUGAAUG
rnacentral:lncRNA from 1 species